UGCAAGUAGAACGCUGAAGGAGGAGCUUGCUUCUCUGGAUGAGUUGCGAACGGGUGAGUAACGCGUAGGUAACCUGCCUGGUAGCGGGGGAUAACUAUUGGAAACGAUAGCUAAUACCGCAUAAUAGUAGAUGUUGCAUGACAUUUGCUUAAAAGGUGCAAUUGCAUCACUACCAGAUGGACCUGCGUUGUAUUAGCUAGUUGGUGGGGUAACGGCUCACCAAGGCGACGAUACAUAGCCGACCUGAGAGGGUGAUCGGCCACACUGGGACUGAGACACGGCCCAGACUCCGACGGGAGGCAGCAGUAGGGAAUCUUCGGCAAUGGACGGAAGUCUGACCGAGCAACGCCGCGUGAGUGAAGAAGGUUUUCGGAUCGUAAAGCUCUGUUGUAAGAGAAGAACGAGUGUGAGAGUGGAAAGUUCGCACUGUGACGGUAUCUUACCAGAAAGGGACGGCUAACUACGUGCCAGCAGCCGCGGUAAUACGUAGGUCCCGAGCGUUGUCCGGAUUUAUUGGGCGUAAAGCGAGCGCAGGCGGUUAGAUAAGUCUGAAGUUAAAGGCUGUGGCUUAACCAUAGUACGCUUUGGAAACUGUUUAACUUGAGUGCAAGAGGGGAGAGUGGAAUUCCAUGUGUAGCGGUGAAAUGCGUAGAUAUAUGGAGGAACACCGGUGGCGAAAGCGGCUCUCUGGCUUGUAACUGACGCUGAGGCUCGAAAGCGUGGGGAGCAAACAGGAUUAGAUACCCUGGUAGUCCACGCCGUAAACGAUGAGUGCUAGGUGUUAGACCCUUUCCGGGGUUUAGUGCCGCAGCUAACGCAUUAAGCACUCCGCCUGGGGAGUACGACCGCAAGGUUGAAACUCAAAGGAAUUGACGGGGGCCCGCACAAG
rnacentral:rRNA from 1 species